CAGAAAUCACUUCACAGCAGUGGAAAAGUACAAACGUUCUUUGACGCCGGAAAGCGGUGACUUGGUCAAAUACGUGCUCACUACGCCUGCGCAGCACGGCCCGCAGGGGGGUAGGGGGCGUCCUGCCUGCGGAGUUCACUACGCCUGCGCAGAGCGACCUGCGGGGCUGGCCUCCGGAGUUCGCUGCGCCUGCGCAGAGCUGCCCGCGGGAGUCCUACCUGCGGGGUUCGCCGCGCCUGCGCCCAGGCUGCUCAGGCGGAUCCUUCCUGUGGAGUUCACUGCGCCUGCGCUAAGACUGCGGCGACCCAUGGCCACUAGGGCUGGGCCCUGAGGACAGCCAGUCCAACACGACGGGUGAACUGUGUUCCAAGGAAGUGUUUGAAACUCGGUUUAGCACCCAGAUCCCUUUCCCCGUGGAAACAGUGUAGUAAGUGGAAAUCAAGUCAACGGGCUGCCCCCCAUAGUCUGCUGAGCGCAUGUGGCGCCGAAGCCCGGCCCGCGGUCCCCCCCGGCGCCCAGUGCCACCUGCUCCGCACGCAGCCGCGGCCGUGACCUCCCUGUGGCGACCCGUGUCAGCCUAGGACGCGGUGCCGCAUGCCCGCCUUUACGCCCAGCCCCGUGUCACAGCAAGUCUGCUGCAUCCUGUCCUGCAGGCACGGUCUCCCGCUCUGCUUUCCUGUGUGUCCACUGCGGCCCGCGCCGGGACCCGCUCCGUCCGGCGCUCUGCUCCAGGCCCCGGGCUCCACCGGCCCUGCUGGUGCUUGGAGCCCCUGAGAACCCCCGGUCAGCCGAGGGUCCAGCCCCAGCAGCCGAAGCACCGACCCCUGGCUCCUCCGUGCCGUCCCCAUGGCCCACCCUGCACGGCCGAGAGUCCGUGGGCCAUGAAGACGGCAGAUGUCCGGCCCGUGCUUCCCAGAGCCCCUCUGGACCGAAACAGCUGCCUGAUCAGAGAACGCUCACUUCGCCUAAGUGCGUCUAGGAUGCCGUCCGUGCAAGGACCAGGUCGUACUCAGGUUCCUGAGCGGGGCCUUGACGCCACUGAAGGUGUGAUCUGAGGAGGUGUCAGCCAAGAACUCAGAAGAGUGGAGGGAAAGCUAUUUGUCCUUUCCCACAAGGAGGGGAGGAGGCACCUGCUCCCCCGUCUGCGCUCAUCUCAUGGGGCAGAAGUGAGCCUUGACCAGAGCCUCUGCCUGGGGCCGUGUGCGCCUCUUCUCCAGGCUGAGGUAUGCGGCUUUCUAUGGAAUGUGAUUUCAGGACUGGGAACCUACCUGAGGUUCCUGGAAGACCUGGUUCCCCCACCUGCUGGCUGCCUGGGGGUGGGAGCCCCAGAGAAAAUGUGUACCAGCCUCUAGUGUACAGUAUUUGUUCCCAAAGUGUGUUCAGUGGAACCAUCUCCUCAGCUAUUCUGCAUCCUUUUCGGAUGAGGAGCAAGCCUGAGUGGUGAUCCCGCAGACCAGCGGGCGGGGCACGUAGAAGAGUGUCCAGCACGUAACUAGGACUCACAAGACACGGGCUGUGGGAAUCAUCAUCCUGGCUGUCUUUACCUUCGGGCUCUAUGAGUGUGCACGGGUUCCUGUUACCAUCUGAAAAGAUAAUGAACUUCUGUUGGUUUGUUUUUGGAAAGCUUAGGUGGCGGGGGAGGGAAUUGGAUUUAUUACCAUCGAUAAAAUUAGUAAGUCAGUUCUCAUUUCCCGGAGAGCUAAGUGGUCGUGUCUUUUUCAUGUCUAAUUUUCUAGCUAUUCUGAACAAGAAUUUACUUACCAACUGUGGAUUCUUUCCAGCAUGUGGUUCAUUAGUGUGAUUUCAGGCUGAAACUUAAAAAUUAA